UACAGAGGGGGCAAGCGUUAUUCGGAAUUAUUGGGCGUAAAGGGCGCGUAGGCGGCCUGGCAAGUGAAAGGUGAAAUCCCUCGGCUUAACCGAGGAACUGCCUUUCAGACUGCUUGGCUUGAGACCGGGAGAGGUGAGUGGAAUUCCCAGUGUAGUGGUGAAAUGCGUAGAUAUUGGGAGGAACACCAGUGGCGAAGGCGGCUCACUGGACCGGUACUGACGCUGAGGCGCGAAAGCGUGGGGAGCAAACGGG
rnacentral:rRNA from 1 species